AUUCCAGCUCCAAUAGCGUAUAUUAAAGUUGUUGCAGUUAAAAAGCUCGUAGUUGGAUUUCUGGUUAGAUGCGCCUGGCCCGCCGACGUUCAGUCGUGUGAAGUGCUGGUGCGCAACUGCCAUCCUUCUAGAGAAGGGACCAACGGUUCAUUCCGGUUCGGUUCACAAUCUAGAUCUUUUACUUUGAAAAAAUUAGAGUGUUUAAAGCAGGCUUUUGCUAUGAAUACAUUAGCAUGGAAUAAUAAUUUAGGACUCUGUUUCUAUUUUGUUGGUUUCUGGAAACGGAGUAAUGAUUGAUAGGGAUUGUUGGGGGUGCUAGUAUUCAGCGGCCAGAGGUGAAAUUCUCGGAUUCGCUGAAGACUAACUUAUGCGAAAGCAUUCACCAAGGAAGUCUUCAUUA
rnacentral:rRNA from 1 species